AUGGGGCACUGGCAGGCAGGGAGCGCGCCGCUGCGGGUUCCUGUACAAUUGCAGAUGUAGCUGUGCACUUCACAGUGGCAGAGUGGGCCCUUCUGGGUGAGUGGCAGCGGGAGUUCUACCGAGACACAAUGAUGGAGAACUAUGGGAACGUGGUCUCUCUGGAGUCCUCACACACUGGGAAUCCCAACUGGAGAGCAAGCGAAGCAGUGGGCACCCUCUGGAGCCGCACAGAGAGAAACCCCCUCCGUGCACUGACUAUGGGGGGCGUCACAGCUGGUGUUGCAUCAGAGACACCCUUCCAGAUAGAAGCCAGCAGGGCUGCGUCCUCUGGGCCCACGGGGCCCCAUCCCACCAGACACGUGUUGCAUCACACGCUAUUCGAGGCAUGUGGGGUCAGCCAUGAGCUGUGAGCUCGGGGGAAGGGGGCACAUUCCUGGGGUGAUUGAUUGCUUGGGAAUCAUGUAACGGGAGGCAUUGGGUUGGAAACCAGAGAAGGAGGAUUCCUGGCUAAACCACUGGCCUGCUGGGUGACCUUGGGAAAGUCACUGCCCUGCUCUCUGCCUCGGUUUCCCUAUUGGUAAAAUGGGGAUAAUGUUACUGACCUUGGUAAAACACUUUGAGGUCUAGUGAUGAAAACCACUAGAUAAGAGCUGGGUCUUAUUAUUAUUUUAUUUUAUUAUUAAGGAGCAGCAUCUUGGGCUUAUUGAUCAUUGCUUCGGUGCCAGUGAUCAUGACUUGCAUUUGUCAUGUGCAAACAGAAUAAUGUCCAAACCAGUAUAAUUAUAUCUACACUUAAAAGGGCCAGUUUCACAAAGCUGAAAACAGUGAUGAGUCAAAUGAGCUGGGAGAAAGGAUUUAAUCAGAAAAUUGUGAGUGCUAUUUUGGAGUUGUAUAAGAACGUUGUACUAGAUGUCCAAAAAGCCAAAACUCCCCAAGCAAGAAAGAGGGCUACACAAGUGGAAAAAAACAAACAACCUGGCUUAUAGGAGACGUGAAAGCAGCUAGAAAAAAAAAUACUGUGGC